rnacentral:rRNA from 1 species
UGGGGAAUAUUGCACAAUGGGCGCAAGCCUGAUGCAGCCAUGCCGCGUGUGUGAAGAAGGCCUUCGGGUUGUAAAGCACUUUCAGCGAGGAGGAAGGUGGUGAGCUUAAUACGCUCAUCAAUUGACGUUACUCGCAGAAGAAGCACCGGCUAACUCCGUGCCAGCAGCCGCGGUAAUACGGAGGGUGCAAGCGUUAAUCGGAAUUACUGGGCGUAAAGCGCACGCAGGCGGUUUGUUAAGUCAGAUGUGAAAUCCCCGGGCUCAACCUGGGAACUGCAUUUGAAACUGGCAAGCUAGAGUCUCGUAGAGGGGGGUAGAAUUCCAGGUGUAGCGGUGAAAUGCGUAGAGAUCUGGAGAAUACCGGUGGCGAACGGCGGCCCCCUGGACGAAGACUGACGCUCAGGUGCGAAAGCGUGGGGCAGCAAACAGGAUUAGAUACCCUGGUAGUCCACGCUGUAAAACGAUGUCGAUUUUGGAGGUUGUGCCCUUGAGGCGUGGCUUCCGGAGCUAACGCGUUAAAUCGACCGCCUGGGGAGUACGGCCGCAAGGUUAAAAC